CUACGGGCCGCUCCAGUGGGGAAUAUUGGGCAAUGGGCGCAAGCCUGACCCAGCAACGCCGCGUGAGGGAAGAAGGUUUUCGGAUUGUAAACCUCUGUCCUUGGGGACGAAGAAGUGACGGUACCCAAGGAGGAAGCUCCGGCUAACUACGUGCCAGCAGCCGCGGUAAUACGUAGGGAGCAAGCGUUGUCCGGAAUUACUGGGCGUAAAGGGUGCGUAGGCGGCAUGUUAAGUCAGGUGUGAAAUACUCGGGCUCAACCCGGGGGCUGCAUUUGAAACUGAUAUGCUUGAGUGUGAGAGAGGAAAGUGGAAUUCCUAGUGUAGCGGUGGAAUGCGUAGAUAUUAGGAGGAACACCAGUGGCGAAGGCGACUUUCUGGCUCAUAACUGACGCUGAGGCACGAAAGCGUGGGGAGCAAACAGGAUUAGAUACCCUUGUAGUC
rnacentral:rRNA from 1 species